GACGAACGCUGGCGGCGUGCCUAAUACAUGCAAGUUGAGCGCUGAAGGUUGGUACUUGUACCAACUGGAUGAGCAGCGAACGGGUGAGUAACGCGUGGGGAAUCUGCCUUUGAGCGGGGGACAACAUUUGGAAACGAAUGCUAAUACCGCAUAAAAACUUUAACACAAGUUUUAAGUUUGAAAGAUGCAAUUGCAUCACUCAAAGAUGAUCCCGCGUUGUAUUAGCUAGUUGGUGAGGUAAAGGCUCACCAAGGCGAUGAUACAUAGCCGACCUGAGAGGGUGAUCGGCCACAUUGGGACUGAGACACGGCCCAAACUCCUACGGGAGGCAGCAGUAGGGAAUCUUCGGCAAUGGACGAAAGUCUGACCGAGCAACGCCGCGUGAGUGAAGAAGGGUUUCGGAUCGUAAAACUCUGUUGGUAGAGAAGAACGUUGGUGAGAGUGGAAAGCUCAUCAAGUGACGGUAACUACCCAGAAAGGGACGGCUAACUACGUG
rnacentral:rRNA from 1 species